GCAGGCGGUUUUCUAAGUCUGAUGUGAAAGCCUUUCGGCUUAACCGGAGAAGUGCAUCGGAAACUGGAUAACUUGAGUGCAGAAGAGGGUAGUGGAACUCCAUGUGUAGCGGUGGAAUGCGUAGAUAUAUGGAAGAACACCAGUGGCGAAGGCGGCUACCUGGUCUGCAACUGACGCUGAGACUCGAAAGCAUGGGUAGCGAACAGGAUUAGAUACCCUGGUAGUCCAUGCCGUAAACGAUGAGUGCUAGGUGUUGGAGGGUUUCCGCCCUUCAGUGCCGGAGCUAACGCAUUAAGCACUCCGCCUGGGGAGUACGACCGCAAGGUUGAAACUCAAAGGAAUUGACGGGGGCCCGCACAAGCGGUGGAGCAUGUGGUUUAAUUCGAAGCUACGCGAAGAACCUUACCAGGUCUUGACAUCUUGCGCCAACCCUAGAGAUAGGGCGUUUCCUUCGGGAACGCAAUGACAGGUGGUGCAUGGUCGUCGUCAGCUCGUGUCGUGAGAUGUUGGGUUAAGUCCCGCAACGAGCGCAACCCUUGUUACUAGUUGCCAGCAUUAAGUUGGGCACUCUAGUGAGACUGCCGGUGACAAACCGGAGGAAGGUGGGGACGACGUCAGAUCAUCAUGCCCCUUAUGACCUGGGCUACACACGUGCUACAAUGGACGGUACAACGAGUCGCGAACUCGCAAGGGCAAGCAAAUCUCUUAAAACCGUUCUCAGUUCGGACCGCAGGCUGCAACUCGCCUGCACGAAGUCGGAAUCGCUAGUAAUCGCGGAUCAGCAUGCCGCGGUGAAUACGUUCCCGGGCCUUGUACACACCGCCCGUCACACCAUGAGAGUUUGUAACACCCAAAGUCGGUGGGGUAACCUUUUAGGAGCCAGCCGCCUAAGGUGGGACAGAUGAUUAGGGUGAAGUCGUAACAAGGUAACCGUA
rnacentral:rRNA from 1 species